rnacentral:rRNA from 1 species
UACGGGGGGAGCAAGCGUUGUUCGGAUUUACUGGGCGUAAAGGGCGCGUAGGCGGCCAGCACAACUCAGUUGUGAAAUCUCCGAGCUUAACUCGGAAAGGUCAACUGAUACUGUGCGGCUAGAGUGCGGAAGGGGCAACUGGAAUUCUUGGUGUAGCGGUGAAAUGCGCAGAUAUCAGGAGGAACACCAAUGGCGAAGGCGGCUCUCUGGACGGUGACUGACGCUGAGACGCGAAAGCGUGGGGAGCAAACAGG